rnacentral:lncRNA from 1 species
UUGUCCAUUAUCCCAUGCUCGCUUAUUUGGCGAUAGUGGAAAAUGAGUCUAUUGGGAGAGAACGCUACAAUUUCAUGCAGGUUCUGCUACAGGAAAACGGGCAAGUUUUGGAAAUGUGAGAUCUGAAAGGCAUUCUAGAUGGGUCCCACACUUGCCGAAACAAAAAAUACGGGUGAAUUGAGGACAGCGAAUAACGGAACAAGCAGCACUAAGCCUUUGGUUAGCGAUGGCAAGCGCAAGCCGAUAAGAAGAAAUUCU